rnacentral:lncRNA from 1 species
GUCUCCGUGCACAUUUAUAGUUCUUUCUUCAUUGUGAAUACCUAGGAAUGGAUUUUAUGAGACAGAACGGGUGUGUUUAUUACCUUCUAUUUCUUUCUCAUCCAUGGGUGUCCUGAUUGAACCCAGAAGAGACUUUGUUCCUGUGGAAAAGUUACUUCUCCAAACAAGAGUGUCCUGAGAGAUCUAUACAGAUUCGACUUCCUCAUUCUGAAACCCUCAAUGUUCCCCACUACACACUGGGAGAGAAGCAGUCCAGUCAUGCUGAUGCAGCAGGUUUUCGGCAUCCUGUACCUUAAACUGAUAAUAUAGCCAAAGAUGUUCCUGUUCCUCUUGCCUCUACCCGCCAAGCACUCGGAUUACAGGAAUGCACUGCCAUUUCAGGUUUUAUGCCUUGCCAUAAAUCAAGACUGGAGCUACAAGCACACCAGACAAGCACUCUUUUCAGCUGAGUCAUAUCCCCAGCUCCAGGGUAUAGAUUUUUGGCAUCCAUACUGCCAAUCACUGCAUCAUACUGAAAGCACUGGAAAAUAUCCAUCACAGAAUCUGUUUAUCCUCAGCAUAUUAUGCUACUUGUAAUA